UCACUUCUUUUCCCAUUUUUCUCUUUCAGGUUCCUCCUGCAUGUUAGGUAAUAGAAGCGACCUGCACAGAGACCUGUGUUUCUCUUAGAUGAAACAACUGGUGUUUGGAAACUUGAGUUCUUCCUGUGGAUCCUUCCUGUGUGGUGCACAAACCAGUGGGCCCCUCAUGGGCUCAACACCAGGGAGUCCCAGUGGCAGCUUCUAAGCUCUGGUCCCCUACAGAGCAAGUUGAAAUCUCCCAAAAAUGAAACUUGCAGAGGCAUGGUUCGGGUUGGUGGAAUGACAACAGCUACCUGGGAUGGUACCUGUUGCUGUCUUCUUCGCUGUUACUAUAGAAGAAACCACACCGCAUGAGUGGCUCUCCAGAAGGCCCCCCCACACAACAGCACCUAGCCCAACUCUUUCAUUUCCUGCUAUUUCGGCAGACAACAGAGCAGCCAGGUUCAAAUCUCGACGGCACCACUUGCUACCUGUGUGACUAAGGGGAUGGUUCUUUUUACCUCUCUGAGCCUUUGUUUCUGGCUUAGCACCAUGGCAAACAGUCUUAUCUGGUCUUCCUCUCUGGGUUUUCCCUUGGAGUCAGAGGCCAUUUCCACCCAAACUGAGAAAGACAAAGCAUUGCCACGCAACUAGCAAAGAAUUAAUGCCUGUUCCUUGACCCUCCCUUUAUAAGAUUUCCUAUUUCCUGCUGCAGCUGCUGAAAUUAGCGGUCCACUGACAUGAAUGGUUACUAUUGACUCAUUUCUCAUCUUCCUGUGACGUCCACAAUACUUAUUUUAUAUAUUUAUACAUUUUUAAUAUUUUUACUUGCAUGUUAUAUGUAUUUAUAUGUACGUGUGUAUAUAUUUACCUGUACCUAUCUAUAUAGAUAUCUAUAGACAGAUGUAAAUAGAGAGAAAAUACUUAACGUGGUGAAAACUUAGUAAAUACUUGUUAUUGGUAAAUGCAACUUACUUAAUGGAAAUGUGACAGCAUGUAAGUUUUUUAAAACUAAGACGAACACUCCUGGACCCACAAAUGCGUGAUUUAGCAAAAUACUCUGUAACAUCAAUAUUGCACAGCAAAUGAUCAAAUGACUUUAACAAAAUGAUUUAGUGUUGUGAACGGGGAUGUUCCCUUGCCUAUCAGGUUUUCCUAUCAAUACUGUUCAAUGAUGAACCAGAGAAGCCUGAUACUCCCAGGUGAGGGAGAGUCAAGUUUGUCUUUCUGGUUUGUGACAGUUAUCAGGUGUUUCCUUAUGUCAUAUGUCAAAGGCUAUAUUUAUGCAGGCUCAGAAGUCUUUUGUUCCUAGAGUAAAGAACAGUACAACGCAAUCUCAGACAUGAAGGGAUUUCAAAAACACUCCAAGUAUAGUAACUGAUAAUAGCAGCUUUUUCAUAUGGUCAUGGUAAAGAUUAAAUGACAUCAUAUAUAUUACAUACCUAGCACAAAGCCUAGUACAUCAUAAGCACUCUGCAAACAUUAGCUGCUACUCUUUCACCAAAGUGUAAAAGGGCAUUUUGAUCUCUCCCCGAGAGUGCCACUAAACUAAAAAUAUGCAUGCAACUUCGUUUAUAAAUACGUAUUGAUGGUGAGGGUCGGCUGUCUUUUAUUGUAUUUUAUUAAUAUUAUCAUGUUUUAUUAACAUCUAUCCUGGGAGGGACCCCUAGAUGCAGGGCCUGAGUCAGGGAAUUGGGAGACUGUGAUAAACCGAGGGAGUACUCUUCAUGAGAAAUAUGCCAAGGGAUGAAGAAAGUACGACAGGGAAAGGGUAAAAGCAGAGCAAAAAUACGGUCUCAGGUCAAGUCUAGUCUUGCCUCUAUAGGGAGGUUCUGAAGCUUACAUCACACUACAGAGUAUUUGCAGCGUGAGGUGAAGGGGUUGGCCUUUUGUGUCCCAGUGUCCAUCAGUCAUUUGCUGAGGACCACAUCUCCUUCCCCUCCCGUGAAAGAUGGGGCAUAAUCGGUAGAAGGAGGCAGACCCUCAGCCGAAGGCAAUUCUCCAGAAAAGGAGAGGCAUCUGCAGGCCUUCAGCAGCAGAGGCACUGGUACCAUGGCUGGGGAGAGUAGGUUGCAUACAAAUGUUACUGUUUUUGCUUGCAAGAAGUUACUUUCCUCUCUGCGUCCGCGCUCCAUUCAAUAUGACUUUGCAGCUCUCCACCCUGUCUAUCUGGACUGGCUUUCGGACUUAUUUUGACCAACAAAAUAUAGUGGAAGUGACACUGCACUAGUUCUAAUCCUAAGGCUGAGGAAGCCUGGUGAGCUUCCACAGGCUCUCUAGCAAUGCUGAUGCCACCUCGCGAACAAGACUGUGAAGACCCAAAGAAUUAAAGAUGCUGCUCCAGCCAACAGCCUGCCAGCCUGUCGCCAGUCACGUGAGGGAAGCAGCCAGGUCACAAUCAACACUCAAGCUCAACAAAGACACCACGGCCAGCCCAGCUAAGAUCAGCUGAGCUUAGACACGUCAGCAGAAGUGCCCGUGGAAACGGUUAGGCUCGGGAGCAAGAGUAAAUGGUGGUUGUCUUAAGCCACAAACCUUGAGGGGUUUAAAAACCUUAAAAGCUUUAAAAACAACAAUAGGGACACCUGGGUGGCUCAGUGUGUUAAGCAUCUGACUCUUGAUUUGGGCUCAGGUCAUGAUGUCUGAGUUUGUGAGAUCAAGCCCCACAUGGCACCUGCUUGGGCUUCUGUCCCUCCCUCUCUCUCCCUCUCUCUCCCCUCCCCUGCUUGUGCUCUCUCUCAAAAUAAAGAAAUAAACUUUAAAAAGUCAUUUAAAAACAACAACAAAUAACUGAUACACUCAAUAGAGGGAACAUGAACAGAAAUAUGAACUUAAUUGAACAUCUUAAAAUAAUUCCUACAAUCAUGCUUGAAAUUGUUUUUCUCAGGGGAGGUUUUUAAGGAAUAAUUGGUUCUAUGAUUCUUUAGAAUAAUAUAAAAACCUAAUCUGUCAUAAUCAGACACAUUGCUCUCAAUAAAUAUUGAAUUCAACCCCUA